AGCUCCAAUAGCGUAUAUUAAAGUUGUUGCAGUUAAAAAGCUCGUAGUUGGAUUUCUGGCAGGAGCGGCCGGCCGCGCGCUCUGCGCGUGAGUUUGUGCUGUCUCUGGCCAUCCUCGGGGAGAUCGCGUUUGGCAUUAAGUUGUCGGACGUGGGAUACCCGUCGUUUACUGUGAAAAAAUUAGAGUGUUUAAAGCAGGCUUAUGCCGUUGAAUAUAUUAGCAUGGAAUAAUAAGAUAGGACUUCGGAACUAUUUUGUUGGUUUGCGUUACGAAGUAAUGAUUAAUAGGGACAGUUGGGGGUAUUCGUAUUUCGUUGUCAGAGGUGAAAUUCUUGGAUUUCCGAAAGACGAACUACUGCGAAAGCAUUUACCAAGGAUGUUUUCAUUAAUCAAGAACGAAA
rnacentral:rRNA from 1 species